UUUUCCUACGGGGGGCUGCAGUGGGGAAUAUUGGACAAUGGGCGAAAGCCUGAUCCAGCCAUGCCGCGUGUGUGAAGAAGGUCUUCGGAUUGUAAAGCACUUUAAGUUGGGAGGAAGGGCAGUAAAUUAAUACUUUGCUGUUUUGACGUUACCGACAGAAUAAGCACCGGCUAACUCUGUGCCAGCAGCCGCGGUAAUACAGAGGGUGCAAGCGUUAAUCGGAAUUACUGGGCGUAAAGCGCGCGUAGGUGGUUUGUUAAGUUGGAUGUGAAAGCCCCGGGCUCAACCUGGGAACUGCAUUCAAAACUGACAAGCUAGAGUAUGGUAGAGGGUGGUGGAAUUUCCUGUGUAGCGGUGAAAUGCGUAGAUAUAGGAAGGAACACCAGUGGCGAAGGCGACCACCUGGACUGAUACUGACACUGAGGUGCGAAAGCGUGGGGAGCAAACAGGAUUAGAUACCCCGGU
rnacentral:rRNA from 1 species